UAUUGGUCAAUGGACGCAAGUCUGAACCAGCUAUGCCGCGUGAAGGAUUAAGGUCCUCUGGAUUGUAAACUUCUUUUAUCUGGGACGAAAAAAGGUCUUUCUAGAUCACUUGACGGUACCAGAUGAAUAAGCACCGGCUAACUCCGUGCCAGCAGCCGCGGUAAUACUGAGGGUGCAAGCGUUAUCCGGAUUCACUGGGUUUAAAGGGUGCGUAGGCGGGCAGGUAAGUCAGUGGUGAAAUCCUGGAGCUCAACUCCAGAACUGCCAUUGAUACUAUCUGUCUUGAAUAUUGUGGAGGUAAGCGGAAUAUGUCAUGUAGCGGUGAAAUGCUUAGAUAUGACAUAGAACACCCAUUGCGAAGGCAGCUUACUACGCAUAUAUUGACGCUGAGGCACGAA
rnacentral:rRNA from 1 species